rnacentral:lncRNA from 10 species
GUAGACUUCACAGAGAUGCCAAAGUGUGGAGGUAACAAGUAUUUACUAGUUCUUGGGCGUACCUAAUCUGUGUGGGUGGAGGCUUAUCUAACAUGAACUGAGAAAGCUCGUGAAGUAAGCCGUGUGCUUCUUCGAGAUCUGAUUCGUAGAUUGGGACUGCCCUUCCGGAUCGGCUCAGAUAACGGGCCUGCGUUUGUGGCUGACUUGCUACAGAAGACGGCAAAGGUAUUGGGGAUCACACGGAAACUGCAUGCCGCCUCCCGGUCUCAGAGUUCCGGAAAGGUGGAGUGGAUGAAUCGGACUAUCAAAAAUAAUAUUAUUGUCUUUCCCGCUGGAUAUGUAAAACAACACCACGAGGGGCGUCAAACCACCUGCUACAUUUAAGGGAAUGUUAUCCUCUCCCCCCCUCCACCCUUCCCGGAUAUUAGAGGCAAAAACACAAGG